rnacentral:lncRNA from 1 species
CCUCUGAUUCCAUUUGUGACCAGAAUCGUGGAAAGUUGUUCAUGAACUGAGGUACCACUGUAUGUUUUAAAUUCACCAGAGUAAAACCCACACCACCCAAGGCUCCAGAAAACAAAGGAGAGAGACAACAAACCUCACACACGUGCGAACCAGUGGACGGUCUCAGGUUUCUUUUCAGAAAAGAAAACACCAACCAUCCUGCUGAGUCAGAUAAAUAAAUUGUUUUAUUCCCCCUAAAUCCAAGGGAAAAUCAGCCUGUUCCUGGAAAUAAGGUUCCUCCUUGUGUGACUCGUACAGCGAGUUUUGCUACUGUCUCGCUUGCCAUUGACCCACUUUUGAGCUGCUCACCCCAAGUUAACAUGACCUCUUUUGGCUGCUUCUUAUUUUUCUUGGGAUCCUCUUUGGUGGCUCAAAAAUUGUCUCAAAGAGAUAAUAGUAAGUGAUUGCUUACACAGAGCCUUAAAUCUAACCACAUCCUUUUCCUGUCACCAACAGUUAUCUACGGACCUGGCAGCCUACAUGAAAUUGCCCAGAACAUUGUCAUCCUCCAGAAUCAAGUAGAUUCCCUGGCAGCAGUAGCCCUAUAGUAAAUACCACAGGGGACUAGGCCUCCCAGCUGCUGAAAAAGGGAGAUUAUGUUUGUCUCUAGAAGAAGAAUGUUCUGUGUCAGUCAGUCUAGAACGUCGUUAAACUACAGAUGGUGGUCUGAGCCAAUGAUUAAAACCCACCUCCAUAUCUCGUCAAGAACUCCAAACCCACAACUCAUCAAGAACUCCUUGCAGGAGGUGUUUGGCUGUCUGAGUCCCUAGAUCAGGCAGGACUAGAGUUCCAUGGUCACUGCAUAGGUAGGGCUGGUGCCCCUAUAGAGUAGGAAACAGCGAUGGGAAAAUGGAUGUUCCACUCUUAGCACCCCUGAAAGAUUUUCAGGUACCAGGUCUCUUGGAGUAAUCAUAGAGAUAGCAUUGUUGGGGCUAUGGGGCCACCAUAACUCUACUCGCUUGAACCUGGGCAAAACCCCAGGACCAACCUCCUGACCUUUGUCCUAAGACCUACUAUCCAGAGGCAGAGAUAAGAAAGACAGAGACCCCCUAGACCUGGCUUAGAAGAUUCUGACAUCCCAAACCAAGGUGCAUUGUGCCAGUUUCUCCGGUAUGACUUACAAUAACCCUUUUUUCAUGUGGAGCUAAUUAAUGGGCUGCCUGUCAUACAUCCAGUUGUAACAGUGAAUUAUGGAAAAGGACUUGCCCAGUAGACUGCUGACAUCACUCAGCACCCUGUCAAGCAUGUUGUAGGUCAUGCUCUGAAAGAUCCAGAGGGAGGCGCCCUAGACCCAGUGCAAACUUUUAAGUUCUUAAAUCCAACAUGUUCAGCACUCGGGCCAUGUUCCUUUCUGCUGGUGUGAACCCCCACUCUGUACAUACCUUUGCACAAAUAAACUGCUUUUCCUAGAAAAAAGAAAAGCUGAGUGUGGUGGUGCAUGCCCCUAAUCCCAACACUUGGGAGGCCGAGGCAGGAAGAUUGACACAAGUUUGAGGCCACUCUAGGGUACAUAGUGAGUUUACGGCCAACCUGAAAUACAUAGUGAGAACCCUGUCUGGAAAGACAAAAAAAAAAGCAAAAUAAAAAUAAAGAAGAAAUAGGGGUUGAGGGUAAAGCUCAGUGGUAGAGCAUUUGUCUAGCAUCUGGGAGAUCCUGGGUUCAAUUCCCAGCACCACAAAAAAGAAAGAGCCCUUUAAUCAACAAUUUAACCUCUCACUUUCAACUUUUUUUUUUUUUUUUGGUACUUGGAAUUGAACUCAGGACCCUGUGCUUGCCAGGCAGGCACUGUGCUGCUGAGCUAUCUCCCCACCCCUAACCUCUCACUUUAAAAUGCUG